rfam:Leersia perrieri chromosome 9, whole genome shotgun sequence.
AGGAUGAGAUCCGCUCAGGCUAGCCAAGGAGACUGCCCGUGAGAUCACAUUGCAGAAGCAGAAUUCAUCAAUACAUCCACUGCAUAAGCAGAGAAUCUGAAGAACUCUCCUACUGCAGGAGUGAAGCCACAGGCAAGUCAUCCUUGGCUACCAGAUGCGAGAUCUCAUCA